AAAAAGUGGACUUGAUUCUUUUGAUGGUACACUCAGAGUUUAAAAAUUUCAGAGUUGCUCCUGUGUCUGCACACUCAGAAUCUGGAGAUGUUAAUUUUUUGUCAUUUGGCUUCUAGAUGUCCUUGGCCUCUGCACCCCUGUGGAAUCCAGUUCAUCUCCAAUCCGUCAGAAAGCAUCAGAGGUGGUUUUGAUUCCUUAUGUCCUGAGCCUGUGCACAAAAUGUGUGAGUGAUAAAUGCAAUGGUCAAAACGAUUUCACUAAAGGGAAGACAGGAGAUCGUGCAGAGGGUCAUACAUUGGAUGUGCAACAGUGGAUCAUGAGGCCAAGGUGCUUGGGUAAUACCUUGUGUGAAGGAAAAUGAGAUCCCGAGUGAAGUCUACAAUGUCAUUGACUCUGAAGAAGGACUCAGAGACCCAUUGGUGUUUAAUGACCCUUACUGGCCUAUGCAAUGGGAACUGGUAUGAUCUUCAGAAAUAGAUGGUUCUUUGGCAAUGUUAAGAAAUAUUAUUUUCGUCAUGUUUUAAUGCAGUAGACAGACACUUUUAUGCACUGCCUGCGUUUAUCUACUGGUUUUGCAGAGAGAGACUUAGUAAACUUUUGAUGAAAUAUUACUGCCAGCUUAUUAAUGAGCACUAAUCCUUUUAAUUUGAUUACAUCCUUAGGGUUUGAUUUAGUCUAUAAAUGAUACCAGUAAAAAACCGAAGACAUUUAAAUUUGGUGUGUGUAAACAGAUUCAUUACAUAGAAAUAUUGUUGCCAUUCAGGCUUGAAGUUCUUGUUUGUGCAUGACCAGAGUGUAGUCUACAUUACAUCAAUAAUGAGAGAACUGCUCUUUGUCUAUGGAUAAUUGGAUGUUAGAACAUUGUACAACAAACUUUUUUUCAUAAUGCUUAUAGUGUUGGGCUUUUUAGGACCACGUUGCCCUGCCGUUUAUACAAGAUUUUAAUAAUGGAAAGAUCUGAGGAAAGCACACAUAUUUUUUUGAGUGUAAAUAAGCAAAAAGAAAAAAGUUGGAGUAGAUAGCUUUGAAGAUUUUGAAAAGAAAUAUUUGGAAUGUGAGGAUGACUUGGUGAUAAUAUCAGAGAGAAAUUGGAGACCUUGUUAUAUCCACACUUCACUCCUCAUGGGUCUGUAAAUUACAUUGUGUUGUAGAGGGUCAAUGUUGUAAAAUGAGGAAAAGUUUAAGAGCGUUGCAUCAUUUUCAUGGACAUAAUGAGGGGAAAAGUGGGAAACUGUUGAGGUAGGUCAUUUUUAUAUUGAUCAAUGGCAGUGACCAAGACUACUAUCUGAAAAGAACAGAAAACUCAUGUUGGAAAAUGUCCAGUUCACUUUUUUUGUAGCUCCAUUUCAUCUUUAAAGUGAAACAUAAUUUAGAAAACUCUAAGAUGUGUAUAUGACUACAUUUGAAAUUUUAAACGAGGAAAGAAUCUCAAGCAGAAAAAAACUGAGGAUUGCUUCAAUUACCUGGAGGUGAGAUAAUCAGUAACAAGUGUGUGGACUAGAGCUCAUUAGGAUCAUGAAAGUCAAAGAGAAAAAGAAUGAAAUUAAGAAAAAGGAAUGCAGGAAGGUAGCUGGGUAAAGAAGGAGGGCAUGAAAUAAGGGGAAAACCAUUUUAGCUUUCUUUUGUUUGUUGUUCUUUUGACCGGAAGAAGCAGCAAAAAUUAAGAUGAAUACUUGAAGAUUACAUAUAUGACACUUUGUAAUUAGUCACCUAGCAAGAAAUACAUUUUUGUAUCAGUUAUUAAAGGCCAAGCUCCUGUAUAUUGAGGUCAAGAAUGUCAGAAGACACAACAGGGAAAGGAGAUGGAAGGCAAGUGAUAUAGGAAAGACAAGAAUUGAAUAGCAGUCAAUAAAGUGACAGGGAUUAGAAAUGGAGACUAUUAAGCAAUAAGUCCUCUUAAAAGCAGAGGACAGAGAUGGUUAAAGGAAAAGGCAGAAGUCAAAAGGAGUAGGAUAACUCUAUACCAUUUUCUAGGGCAUGAGUUGAUAGAGUUCUUUUUGCAAAUGACCAGAUAGUAAAUAUUUCAGACUUCGAGGGCCACAGAAAUCUCUGAGGCAUAUUUUUGUUGUUGCUGUUCCAGUCUUUUGAAAAUGUAAAAACCUUUCUUAGCUUAGGACCAUUACCAAAACAGGCUGUAGGCUGGAUUUCACUUGUAGGCCAUAGUUUACUGACAGCUGAGGAGAGUAGGGGAAAAGAGGAGUCAAAAGGAAGUAGCUACUCAGAUUUGUUGUCUCCUAAGUGUCCAGCUGCUGUGCUGUGCUAGAAACACAUUACAAUAGCACAACUCGGCAGUGAAGGGUCAAGCCAGGUCAUAUGAAUCUCAAUAACCUCCUGGAUUAUUACUAUAUUCCAGUAGCACCAUUCUAGAGGCUUGUCUGCCAGUAUGGAAGCAAUUCCUUGUAAUACCAAGGCAAGCCGUAAUACAUAAUUGCAAGGAAAGGUUUGCAGUUUUUGACUGGAUGUUCUGUGUAAAACAUAUUCAUAACAGCAGACCCAAGCUGUGUUACAGAAUCCAUCCUCUGAUGAGAAUACCAAGUUUAUUUCAGUGAAAGACUGAAUGGCACAAGUGGGUUGUGCUGCCCAAACAGGCAAAUUUGAGACCUUACGCUGAUUUCUACCCCAUAAAUGGUCUCCCUCAGUUACCAGUUCCUCCCUCCUUUCUCCACAGCCAAGUGUCCUGAAAUGGGAGUCUAUUCUCAUCUUCAUUUUUGUGCCCAUCUACUCCUCAACUAAUAGCCCAUGGCAAUCUGGUUUUGUGAUGCCCUCCUGCUUACCCCCGCCAUCCUCCCCAUCCGCGCACAUUAUACUUAAUCUCUUGGUGUAAUAGAGACUUUUCAGUUCUUAUCUUACUUUCUUCACCAAUUAUGAACUUGUGAACUUGUGACUGUCUAGAUAAAAACCUUCAGUAGUUAGAACCAGAUUCUCUAAAAUGGCAUAGUUAGUCAUUCAUAAUCUCCAUUUAUUGACUUUAAUAGCUUCAUUUCUGACUGUUUUUGCUUAUAGACACAAUCUAUACAGACCAACUAGACCAAACCCCAAAGGAAUGCAAAUGGCCAUGCUUCCUCUGCCAAAUGCUCUUUGCUUCUGCCUCAUAUUCCUUCCUGACUAAUUCUUUCUCAUAUUCCAAAAUUCACUCCUGGCACUAUAUCCUAAAACAAGACCCUUUUCACCCACCGGAGUGAAUUAGGCUACGUUUACUCCAUACUCCCAUAAUGCAGUGUGCCCACAUUGCCAUUUGGAUGAGUGAACAAGUGAAUGAAAGAAUGAGUUAAUACUUGACAAUUUGUGUGUCCUCUCAACUAGAGAAUAAUAUGCCUAAGGACAGUGACUAUCUCUUAUUCACCUCUACAUUGCAACUCAUGGCAAGACACCUGAUAUUUUUUAUAUCAAAUUACAUUUGUUUAAUGAGCAAAUUUUAGAAUGCAUGUAUGAAUGUAGCAACUCAGUUUUCUUCCAUUUCUUCUCUAUUGUAAAGUAAAAAAUUCUACUGAUCCCUUACCUACUAGGGGCUUGUGUUCUAAUAAAACUGGUUCUCAGUUAAAAAUCAGCUUCCAUCUCUACCGAUAAUUUUAAGGACAAAAAAAGGGUUCUGUAACAAGAAACCCCCAAUAGAGUGGCUUGAGAAGGAUGAAGUUUAUUCUUUCAUAUAAGUAGAGGAAUUGGUCUCUGGCCAGGAUCAAGUCUCACAGUGUCAGGACCUGAAGUUCCUUCCAUCUGCCACCUCUUUGUGUCUCUUUUCCACUGGUUCACCACCUUUUCUGCACGUCACCUGGUGGGAGAGAAAAAAUGAAAGUGUAUGGCACACCUGUCCCUUGCAGACAAACCCAGGACGUUGUAUUUGUGUGCCCAGCUCAAACUUGGGGAUUCUCUUCCUAGAAGAGGGAAGAAUAGAUAUGAGGAGACAGCAAACAGUCCCUUCCAAGUACUAAUUAAAUGCAAAACAUUUUAAGCAAACACGUAAAAGCAAACUUCUCUGAAAUUUCUGAAGAGCAUUUGAAAUAUAGCAUCAACAAGAAGCAAACGUUAGUAUAAAAUAUGGAAAAUUAUAAAGCUACAGAACAAUUCUUGAGAUUUCAGAGAAUUUUUCAUGAACAUAAUUUAAACAAGCGUUCGAUAGUGUUGAAACUCACCUGAUUUGCCAUUAUUUGCCAAAAUUUAUCACAGCAAGUGCCAGAGAAUGAAAUGUCCUGAAUCUGAAGAGAGGAUGUCUAGCAGGCUAAUUUCACCAUUUCAAUAAAAUGUCAGAAAUGAAUGCAACCAAAUAUAUGACUAAUGUUUUCUUUCUGUCUGAUUCUACCACUACUGUUAUUCUCAGUGAAAAAUCAUUUUAUUAUCAUAAACCUAUCUGAGGAUAGCCAUAAUGUUCAUUGGCUAGACACUUGCACAGUUCUGCUAAUGUGAGAUUAUAUUUAUUUAUAUUUCUUUCUUUCUUAUUCUAGCAUAUUUUCAGAACAUAUUUCU